rnacentral:rRNA from 1 species
GACAGAGGGUGCAAACGUUGUUCGGAAUUACUGGGCGUAAAGCGCGUGUAGGCGGCCCUGCAAGUCGGGUGUGAAAUCCCAUGGCUCAACCAUGGAAGUGCACUCGAAACUGCAGGGCUAGAGUCCUGGAGAGGAAGGUGGAAUGCUUGGUGUAGAGGUGAAAUUCGUAGAUAUCAAGCGGAACACCGGUGGCGAAGGCGGCCUUCUGGACAGUGACUGACGCUGAGACGCGAAAGCGUGGGGAGCAAACGGG